AUUGAACGCUGGCGGCAGGCUUAACACAUGCAAGUCGAGCGAGCGGCGGACGGGUGAGUAAUGUCUGGGCAACUGCCUGAUGGAGGGGGAUCACUACUGGAAACGGUAGCUAAUACCGCAUACCAUCAGAUGUGCCCAGGUGGGAUUGGCUAGUAGGUGGGGUAAUGGCUCACCUAGGCGACGAUACCUCGCUGGUCUGAGAGGAUGACCGGCCAAACGGGAACUGAGACACGGUCCAGAUUCCUACGGGAGGCAGAAGUGGGGAAUAUUGCACAAUGGGCGAAAGCCGGAGGCAGCCAGGCCGCGUGUGGGAAGAAGGCCUGCGGGUUGUAAAGCACUUUCAGCGAGGAGGCGGUACUCGCAGAAGAAGCAACGGCUAACUCCGUGCCAGCAGCCGCGGUAAUAC
rnacentral:rRNA from 1 species